UACGUAGGGUGCAAGCGUUAAUCGGAAUUACUGGGCGUAAAGCGUGCGCAGGCGGUGAUGUAAGACAGGUGUGAAAUCCCCGGGCUUAACCUGGGAACUGCAUUUGUGACUGCAUCGCUGGAGUGCGGCAGAGGGGGGAUGGAAUUCCGCGUGUAGCAGUGAAAUGCGUAGAUAUGCGGAGGAACACCGAUGGCGAAGGCAAUCCCCCUGGGCCUGCACUGACGCUCCAUGCACGAAAGCGUGGGGAGCAAACAGG
rnacentral:rRNA from 1 species